rnacentral:lncRNA from 1 species
UUAGAAGUUAGUGGAAAGAGAUGGGAGAGUGCAAGAAGGUAAGAUUAUAAGCAUAUAGAUUCCAUAUACAUACUCAACAAAUGCUUGUUGAUUAAUUGAGUCUAAAUAUCCUGUAGUCUCUGUUUUCCAGUUCAUCCUGUUGCCUAAGUCAUGUCCUUUACACAUUGGAUGAUGCUGGCAAUCUCUGAAAAUUCAUAUCAAACUCCCUUUCUUUAUUUCUUUGUUGAUUCAGGACUUCCAUAAUGGAAGAGCCAUGUAACCUGAGAGAGUUAACUCAUACAAAUAUGAAGAAAGAUGUAACUGAAGAUCUCCCAUUGACUAAGUCAGAGAGUGGCAGGCAUGAAGAAACCAAUGAAAAUGCUGACAGUGUGCAGGAAGCAGCUGAAAUAGUUUCUUCCGGUACUGAGAAAUCUUUGUCAAUGAAUAACCUCUCGGGAAAGGAAAUCAAAAAUUGCCAAAUUGACUUUCAAAAUGAGGAGUCUUUGGAAAAUGACCAAAUUACUGAGGAAAAAAGGUGGAAUCAAAGAACACUUCAGAUGUUAGACUAUUUACGGGUAAGAAAAGAAAUACUGACUUGCUGAAAACUACCAGACAUUGAUAAAAUGACAAGGAGU